rnacentral:lncRNA from 1 species
UUUUAGAUCAUAUACAUUGUAUCCAUCUAGUAAUUUAUCGAAUUCUCACAUUCAUUACAUCAUUUCAUCAUUUCUUUCUUACAUUACAUUUACCUCAAAAUAAGCUUUACAUUCUUUCUUUACUUCACUAAUCAUCACAUACAAAAGAUGAUCAUAAGGUACUUUACUACAAAAUGAAAUCCAACAUUGGUGGCCUCUGACUAAGGCGCGAUACCUUUACCGCGGUCGCUCGCCGGCUCGCUCGGUCCCGGACUACAACAAAGUUCCCAGUGGGU